GCAUUUCCCAGUUCUGUCCAAAAAGACAGCAAUAAUCAAUACACCAUGUAGCCACGAAUACACCUAACACCUAGAUCUUGGGUUUUAAAUACUAUUCUCCACUGAAAGGAACUGGGGCUUGGGAAAAUAGUAGAUUUGAGGGCUGGAGCAGGAAAAGUGCCCUGUGCCUGGUACCAUGGUACAUGAAACAUCUAGCUGUGCCAUAUGAUAGGCAAGUGCUCAAGUAAUGCUGAGGACAUGUCAAAAGACCAAGGUGCCAACUUAAAGGGACUCCCAAUGGCCAAAUCUGGGACAACUUGAGUAUCAAAAUAAUGACAGUAACAGAUUAUAAGCCAUGAAAUAUAAAUAGUCCUGAUAUACAGACACAUACACGUAUUACAUACACACAUACAUACAUACACACAUGUGCAGAAAGAGAAAGCUCUUUCUUACACUAGAAUGCCCAAUAAUAGGUGUGGAAGGAAGGAUGCAACUAGUAUGGUAAUAAUUGAUUCAAACAAGAAGCAUUACUAGAUGCUAAAACUAAAGCCAUUGUGUGAAAAUUUGUUGAGGAGUAGGAUAUUUACAUAGUCUUAAAGAGUCUUUCCACAAGAUACAAUACCUGCAAAAGGAAGGAGAGUGACUUUAUAGCGAAGAAACAUGGCAGAGACUAUCUUAGUCGAGUGAUCAAAGGCUGCAUCACUGUUACUGGACAAACUGACAUGAGGCUCCUGAUGGGAUGCACAGGGAAGAGUGAAAAAUCACUUCUGUGAUGUUCCUGCCAGAGAUGCAAAACUGAAAUCUAAUCACGAGGAGCCGUCACAUAAACCCAAUUUGAGGAACCUUCUACAAAACAACUGGCCUGUAACCUGGUUGCAGAGAGGAAAGGAGGAAAUUUUUCGAUAGAAAAAUCUUGGAGAUCCUGUUGCUGUCACCCAUCGGGCUGUUGGAAGCUGGGGUUAGUCCAGAAGUCUUCAGGUAAUGCCAGGGUGUUGCCCUGGCCAGGAACUCUCAGUUGCCUCUGAACUUCUUCCAGCCCCACAUGAUGGCUAAGCUCUCCAUGAAAGGAGACCAGUUGGAAACAAAGCCAACAUUCCCAGCACCCUGAGGGCACUGAAGGAUUGGCUAAGUUCUCCCCGGCAAGCCUGUUCCCUGAGAAAAUGGAGGACAGAGUCCUUAAAAUGAAAGAGCUGGGGUCUGUGCCUAUACUCACUCUUUCAAUGAAUCUACGUCGGAUCCCAGGCAGGCCCCCACAAUGAAGUGGUGUUGUUCAACUGAGGUAAUACCCAAGGUUCGUUGUCUCAUGGCCACAGAAAACUAGGACUCGGACACACCAGAGUGAGGUUAAGAGCAGAAGUUUAAUAGGCAAAAGAAAGAGAAAAGCUCUCUCUGUUGCAGAGAGAGGGGUCCUGGCGAAAAUGGGUUGCCCCCAAGUUCAUUCUUGUUGUUCGCAAUGUUCAGCGUCUUGCGGUUGUGGGACUGACCGUAACAGACGAUUUUUUUGUUGGCUAGAAGCCACCUGCAUUCCUUGAUGUGUGGCCCCUCCAUCUUCAAGUGAGCAAUGGUGUUUUGAAUCCUCCUUAUGCUUCAUGUCUUUGACUUCCUCUUCUGUGACCAACCGGGAAAAACUCACUGCUUUAAAAGGGCUCUUAGGAUUAGAUCAGGUACUGUGUUAGUUCACUUUUGCAUUGCUAUAAAGAAAUACCUGAGGCUGGGUGAUUUAUAAAGAAAAGUGGUUUAAUUGGCUCAUGGCUCUGCAGGCUGUACCAGCAUAGCUCUAGCAUCUGCUUCUGGUGAGGCCUCGGGAAGCUUCUAAUCAUGGUAGAAGGUGAAGGGAGAGCAAGUGGUGUCACAUGGUGAGAGCCAGAGCAAGAGAGAGAAGGGGAGGGUGCCAGAUUCUUUUAUUUUUUAUUUUUGUUUUUUGAGACAGAGUCUUGCUCUGUUGCCCAGGCUGGAGUGCAGUGGCAUGAUCUCGGCUCACUGCAACCUCCACCUCUCGGGUUCAAGUGACUCCCAUGCCUCAGCCUCCUGAGCAGCUGGGACUACAGGUGCACGCCACCAUGCCCAGCUAAUUUUUUUGCAUUUUUGUUAGAGAUGGAGUUUUGCCAUGUUGCUCAGGCUGGUCUCGAACUCCUGAACUCAGGCAAUCUGCCCACCUUGGCCUCCCAAAGUGCUGGGAAUUCAGGCAUGAGACAUGGCGCCUGGCCCCAGACUCUUUUGAACAAGCAGAUCUGUGAACUAACCGGGUGAGAACUCACUUAUUACCAAGGGGAUGGUGGUAAACCAUUCAUGAGGAAUCCGCCCCGGUGAUCCAAUACCUCCCGCCAGGCCCACCUCCGACACUGGGAAUCACAUUUCAACGUGAGAUUUCAGAAGACACACAUCCAAACCGUAUCAAGCAUACCCAGAGAUUUUCCGUAUCUUAAGGCCAUUUAUGCCAAAUAACAUAAGCUGAUCACAAGAGUAAACGCCACCAUAUUCACAGCGCAGGGUAUUUUACAGGACAUGUACACAGGAUGGGGAGGACUGGGCUGAAAUCCUGGAGGCCAUCUUAGAAUCUGCCUAUCAUAGUUGCCGGGGUUGAGAAACAAGAAAGCCAGUGUGGCUGGAGCACAGUGAACAAGGGGGUGCAGGGAGGAGAGACAGCAGAGUAUCACAGGUGGAGAGACACAUAUAUACCACCUAGCCUGAUGGGAGGCUGAAGGCCUGAAAGUCACCUUGUGCAAUUUUGGUUCCUGAGGAAGGGGAGGGUCAUGCGAGUUCCUCCAUGGAUUCACUUGCACUAAAAAGCACCCCUGGGGUGGGACCCAGUCGAUGAUGGAAGUCAAUGGAAUGCGUGUUGAAGAGUAGCCCUUGGAGAACCAGUGGGCUGCUGGGCAUAGGUGAUAAGUUCUGCUCUGUGCAUUUGGCCCAGUAGGCACAAUGCCAAGAAGCCAUGGGCUCGUCAAGGAUCCAUGGAGAAGUCUGAAAUCUAAAAAAGCUGGCUGGAAAAAUAUUUUAAAACUUUCCAAACUUGAAAGACUUAGUGAAGUGCCUACCAAGUAGCAUUGUGUCAAUGGGUCAUGAGCAACGCCCAAGUCUCCUAAUAGUUACAUAUGCGUUCUAUGUGAUGUGACUGCAUUUUGUUUCCAUUUUAACAUUAUUGUAUUUAUUUUUUCGUAGUAUCAUGUGCAAUGUACAAAUAAAAAGGAACAAAAGGAGAUGCCCUGAAAAGCAAGUCUCUCUCCCACCUCUGACCCCCAGCCACGCACCCUCUCCCCACUGAGGCGUUUCCUGUACUCAAAGGUAUUUUGUGCACAUGCUAAUGAACAUGUAUAUAUACACCUGACUCCUCCCCUUUUCACAAUGGUGGCUGUUCUGCCUGCUUUUUUUCUUUUUUCUUGGCAGUACAUCUUGGAGAUGUUUCCUAUUGGCUCAUGUGGAGCUGCCCAUUCUUUUGUACAGCAGCAGAGCAGUCUGUUAUUUGGAUGAACUGUCAUUUAUUAACUAGACAUGCCCACAACCCUGCCACCUCUUUUCCUAACACACUGGGCAGUCUUGGCCUCUCCCAGGCUCCCUGGGAGGGUCACUACUUUCACAAAGAUGAUGCCCACUUCUGCCCAUGGAAUCUGGCUUGCCCAGUGACUACCUGACAGGGUUGAGUGACACCACCCAGAAGUGCAAAGAAGGCAGUAAAGAAGAAAGAAGAAUUUAUUAGGUGCCCGAGGAAGGGCUCAAUCCUGCCAGUCUAAACAUUGUUGUACAUACCUCCUGAUAUGUUUUUCUAGAAUGUCUCCAGGAAGGGAUUGCUGGGAAUAAGUGCAAAAUAAUGCCCAAUUGUUCUCCAGAGUGGUUGUACAACUGACUCCCUUAUCACCAGUGUCAAGGAGUCCUUGUUCCACAUAAUUGAUCACAUUUGGACUUGUCUAGCUUUUUAAGUUUUGCCAAUUGAGUAGACAGGAAAUGAGCUUUUAAUUUGGAUUUCUCUAAUUACUCAGAGGUUGAGCAUCUUUUCAAAUGUUUGUUGGCUAUUCAUGUUUUCGCUUCUCUAUGUCUGUCCAAAUCUUUAGUCCAUUUUUCUUUUUGAUUGUUUGUCCUUGUCUUAUUGAAUUGUAGGGGUUCUUUAUAUAUUUGGGUGCUAAUCUUUGUCAGUUAAAUUGUUACGGACAUCUUCUAGCUUGUGACUUGUCUUUCCACUUUUAAAAAAUGGUGAACUU
rnacentral:lncRNA from 1 species